AAAACGGCCCUUUUCAGGGUCACAAAAGUUCAUUUUCUUUAAAUCU
rfam:Macrostomum lignano uti_cns_0045420, whole genome shotgun sequence.